AGCUUUGUUCAGUGGCAGUAAUGUAGCCACUGAGGUUAACCCGAGGUGCGAUCAUUGCUAAUUGAAAACUUUCCCCAUGAUGC